GACGAACGCUGGCGGCGUGCUUAACACAUGCAAGUCGAACGGAAAGGCCCUUCGGGGUGCUCGAGUGGCGAACGGGUGAGUAACACGUGGGUGAUCUGCCCUGCACUUUGGGAUAAGCCUGGGAAACUGGGUCUAAUACCGAAUAGGACCAUUGCCUUCAUGGGUGGUGGUGGAAAGCUUUUGCGGUGUGGGAUGGGCCCGCGGCCUAUCAGCUUGUUGGUGGGGUAAUGGCCUACCAAGGCGACGACGGGUAGCCGGCCUGAGAGGGUGACCGGCCACACUGGGACUGAGAUACGGCCCAGACUCCUACGGGAGGCAGCAGUGGGGAAUAUUGCACAAUGGGCGCAAGCCUGAUGCAGCGACGCCGCGUGGGGGAUGACGGCCUUCGGGUUGUAAACCUCUUUCAGCACAGACGAAGCGCAAGUGACGGUAUGUGCAGAAGAAGGACCGGCCAACUACGUGCCAGCAGCCGCGGUAAUACGUAGGGUCCGAGCGUUGUCCGGAAUUACUGGGCGUAAAGAGCUCGUAGGUGGUUUGUCGCGUUGUUCGUGAAAACUCACAGCUUAACUGUGGGCGUGCGGGCGAUACGGGCAGACUUGAGUACUGCAGGGGAGACUGGAAUUCCUGGUGUAGCGGUGGAAUGCGCAGAUAUCAGGAGGAACACCGGUGGCGAAGGCGGGUCUCUGGGCAGUAACUGACGCUGAGGAGCGAAAGCGUGGGGAGCGAAACAGGAUUAGAUACCCUGGUAGUCCACGCCCGUAAACGGUGGGUACUAGGUGUGGGUUUCCUUCCUUGGGAUCCGUGCCGUAGCUAACGCAUUAAGUACCCCCGCCUGGGGAGUACGGCCGCAAGGCUAAAACUCAAAGAAAUUGACGGGGGCCCGCACAAGCGGCGGAGCAUGUGGAUUAAUUCGAUGCAACGCGAAGAACCUUACCUGGGUUUGACAUGCACAGGACGCCGGCAGAGAUGUCGGUUCCCUUGUGGCCUGUGUGCAGGUGGUGCAUGGCUGUCGUCAGCUCGUGUCGUGAGAUGUUGGGUUAAGUCCCGCAACGAGCGCAACCCUUGUCUCAUGUUGCCAGCACGUUAUGGUGGGGACUCGUGAGAGACUGCCGGGGUCAACUCGGAGGAAGGUGGGGAUGACGUCAAGUCAUCAUGCCCCUUAUGUCCAGGGCUUCACACAUGCUACAAUGGCCGGUACAAAGGGCUGCGAUGCCGUGAGGUGGAGCGAAUCCUUGAAAGCCGGUCUCAGUUCGGAUCGGGGUCUGCAACUCGACCCCGUGAAGUCGGAGUCGCUAGUAAUCGCAGAUCAGCAACGCUGCGGUGAAUACGUUCCCGGGCCUUGUACA
rnacentral:rRNA from 1 species